rnacentral:lncRNA from 1 species
UCUUUCUUCUUCUCUCUCGCCCUCACACUCUCAUAUAUAUACCCCAUUUUCUUUUAGUAUUUCACCUAUAAUACUCUAAAGCUCUGCCCCCGUUUUAAGUGUUUUAACCCCUGAUCACUGAUACCCUGUCCGAUUGAUAUAGGGCCCCGUAACGCAUGUCAAGGCUUUGCCCGACUAAGUCGUUGGGGUUCUGUCUCGUGACGUAGGGAUAAGGUUGAAUUGGGUUACUAUACUUAACGCGAGUGCAUUAUAUAUUUUAUUAAAUAGAUCAGGAGUUAUACCCAAGAUUAUACCAGAUGGCUUUCUAGUUGAACCCUAAAAUUACAAGGCGAGUCUAUUCUCUUUUCUCACAGUUUUAUCACCUUUUUGUGAUACAGUUAUAUUAAAAAAAUGCUUUUCAAAAUCCUAAAUAUUUAUCAGUUAUGCUUACAGUGAUUAAAUUUUAGUAUUCUGCAAUAAUUGCCGGUAUGGGAGGUUUUAUAAAUUAUUUGACCCUCGUUACUAUUGACCAAAAAGUUAGCCAAUAGUAGCACAAAUGUGGUAUUUAAUAUUUAAUAUAUCAACGCUCAUGUAUGUCUUAAAUAGUAUAUCCCAAUAUUCCAUAGGUCUUGCAAGGUGGUCUAUAGAGUCUAGAUUUACCUGGCAACUUACUAGUAAUAAUACCAUGAGUCACACAAUUUGAUAUUCACCCUAUGAUGUGGAUAUACCACUAAAAUUUGGGUAUCUAUUAGAUUAUUGCAAUCAUGCGGACAAUGACCGUCACCCUUAAUAAAAAUAUAUAAUUAUUGUAAAUGUUUGUAUCGUAUCUUCUAUAUUAAACUGUAAAACAUGAUGCAAAAUUUCAUACAAUGCAGAGCAACAAAUAUUGAAGUUAAUGAUUUCUUGACUUGCAAUUUUUAAUAAAUAAAUAAUUAAAGUAUUACUUUAUGCUAUAUGGAUGGAUAUGUAUCUAUAGAUAUUAUUAUUCAUAAAAUUACCAGAAUCAUGCCUUUUAUAAGUAGAUUGAAUAAAUUAAUUAUGGGUGAUGUGACAAGCGUCAAACGGAGUGUUUCAGUUUAAUUUGAAUAAUAAAAAUCGAGAACAUAAAUACCAAAUAACUAUGUAUGAGAAUCCCCUUUCUCAUUGUGCUUUAAUAUACUAAAAUAUAAGUCGGGAAUUAUAUUUUAAAUCUUAAAUCCCGUUAAUAUAUUAAAUAAUUGUAUCACAAUUAUUUAAUUAAUAUAUUAUAUUAAUUUGACAGAAAAUGAUAUAUUUUAUUUUCUGGAUUAAUUGGUUUUGUGCCAUAGAAAAUAUAUUUGACAAAGUAAUGUCAUAGGACACUACUAAGUCGAGAGUCACUAGUUGAGAGAAUGAUCAACAGUGAUAUGACCAGAGUCACUAGUUGAAAGAAUGAUCAACAGUGAUAUGACCAGAGUCACUAGUUGAAAGAAUGAUCAACAGUGACAUGACCAGUGAUAUGACCAGAGUCACUAGUUGAAAGAAUGAUCGACAGUGAUUUGACCACCGUCACAGGAAUCGCCUAGUGAUAGAUACUUGAAUAAUAAUAAGAUAUAUUUUAUAUCUAGUACUUGAUAAAUUCACUAUUGGACGAAAGUGAGCCAAUGAGUGAUAUGACCACGGUCACAUCGGAACUGCCACCAUGUGACAAAUACUGAUUAAGUUGGGUAAAUAUAAAUAAAUAUAAAAACCUUGAUGCUGUAAAGUAUAACAAUAUGUUUUAUAAAAAUGGAAUGAACUCGCCAGUAACUUGAUGUAAGGAUAGUAGAAGCCCAGCUAUGGAGCACUGAAGACUUAAAUAAAGUGGCU